rnacentral:rRNA from 1 species
AGUGAACGCUGGCGGUAGGCCUAACACAUGCAAGUCGAACGGCAGCACAGUAAGAGCUUGCUCUUACGGGUGGCGAGUGGCGGACGGGUGAGGAAUACAUCGGAAUCUACUUUUUCGUGGGGGAUAACGUAGGGAAACUUACGCUAAUACCGCAUACGCCCUACGGGAGAAAGCAGGGGAUCUUCGGACCUUGCUCGAUUGAAUGAGCCGAUGCCGGAUUAGCUAGUUGGCGGGGUAAAGGCCAACCAAGGCCACGAUCCGUAGCUGGUCUCAGAGGAUGAUCAGCCACACUCGAAUCGAGACACGGUCCGGGCUCCUACGGGAGGCAGCAGUGGGGAAUAUUGGACAAUGGGCGCAAGCCUGAUCCACCCAUACCGCGUAUGUGAAGAAGACCUUCGGGUUGUAAAGCCCUUUUGUUGGGAAAGAAAAGCAGCAGGUUAAUACCCCGCUGUUCUGCCGGUACCCAACGAAUAAGCACCGGCUAACUUCGUG